UUCUGAAUCUGAGAUUAGACAAGGCUACCCGCUGAAUUUAAGCAUAUAAUUAAGCGGAGGAAAAGAAACUAACUAGGAUUCCCUCAGUAAUGGCGAAUGAACAGGGAAAAGCACAACAUGAAAAUCGGUGGCUUGCCUUCCGAAUUGUAGUCUCUAAAGGAAAGACCAGGAUCGGCGCAGGGGUAAGUCUCUUGGAAAAGAGCGUCAUAGAGGGUGAGAAUCCCGUCCAUACUCUGCAGUCCUUUCCGUACGGCUUUCUGUUAACGAGUCGCGUUCCUUGGGAUUGGAGCGUAAAGUGGGUGGUAAAUUUCAUCUAAUGCUAAAUAUUGGCGAGAGACCGAUAGCGAACAAGUACUGUGAAGGAAAGAUGAAAAGAACUUUGAAAAGAGAGUUAAAAGUGCCUGAAAUUGCUGGUAGGGAAGCGAAUAGAAUUGUACUUUCCGUAGAGAUUAUGGGUUACGAAAGCGAUACUGCUCCUUAUACCGCAAGUGUAAGUAGUAGGUGUAGCCCAAGUGAUCCAUUACUCUCUGCGGGAUUGUCAGCAUCAGUUGCGAGUGCAAGAUAACCGACAAGGAGGUUAAACCUUCCGGGGUUGUUAAGCCUUGUUGCGACCUUGCGCACGCUCCUGAGGAAUGCAGGCUGGAUUUCACUCUCGAGUAUUCCUGUCCUUCAGAUGCUGGCUAAGCGAUUCUAUCCGACCCGUCUUGAAACACGGACCAAGGAGUCUAACAUAUGUGCGAGUAUGCGGGCGGUAAACCUGUAUGCGCAAUGAAAGUAAAAGUUGGGAAAUUUGCACCAACGACCGACCACGAUCUUCGGAGAGAGGUUUGAGUAAGAGCACAUC
rnacentral:rRNA from 1 species